CUGAAUGUCUACUGGGAUUUGUCCCCUGAGAACUGACUGAGAGGGGGGUCAGAGGCUUAGCUGGCCCCUGGGCCACCUAGUCUGAGGAAGGCUGUGCAAGACAGCCACUCUGGGAAAGGAAAGAAAGAGCCAAGGAAGACUCAGAGGAAAAUUUUUUCUCAGGUCUGAUGCCAGGGAAAACAUGCCUCUCUUAAGCAACAGGGGACACGGGUUCGAGCCCUGGUCCAGGAAGAUCCCACAUGCCAUGGAGCAACUAAGCCCGUGCACCACAACUACUGAGCCUGCACUCUAGAGCCCACAAGCCACAACUACUGAGCCCACGUGCCACAACUACUGAAGCCUGUGCGCCUAGAGCCCGUGCUCCGCAACAAGAGAAGCCACCGCAAUGAGAAGCCCGCGCACCUCAACGAAGAGUAGCCGCCGUUUGCCACAACUAGAGAAAGUCUGUGUACAGCAGCAAAGACCCAAUGCGGCCAAAAAUAAAUAAAUAAUAAAUAAAUUUAUAUAUAUAUAAAAAAAUUGUAUCUUAAGAACACAUUUAUAAAACACAGGAAAAACAUUGUCUUAGUUCCAAUUGAUAGGGUAUUUUUUGUCUUUUCCUCUUGGUUGGUAGCUAAAAGCAGUAUAAUUAUA